AAGAGCUCCCAUCAGGUCAUCUUCAUCAUCAGCCAUGUUCUCUGCAGCUCUGAUACUGCUGCUGACAGCUGCAUCCUGUGUCAGCAGUAUUGAUCUCAUCCAGCCAGGAUCAAUGGUUGUGCAGCCUGGACAGACUCUGACCAUCACCUGUCAGCUCUCUGGUUACUCUAUCACUGAUAACAGCUAUGCUACAGGCUGGAUCAGACAGUGUGAAGGUAAACCCAUGGACUGGAUCUCUCACAUGUGGGGUGAUGGAACUUUUUACCAAAAUAAUGUUCUGAAGAACAAGUUCAGCUACAGCAGAGACACUUCUGCUGGGACAGUGACUCUCACAGGACAGAACAUGCAGCCUGCAGACACAGCUGUGUAUUACUGUGUGAGGAGAGACACAGUGAGAGAGAAGAACGACAGAGGUUCACAAAAACAACUUCCUCUUUUCUCAACUAUCAUUUGGAUCCUUCAUCCCAGCAACACUUCAUUCAGUGAUAAAACAAAAGUUCAAAAUGUUGAAUUAAUCAAUUCAUAUUCCAUGAUUUGGGUGAACACCUGAUUCUGAUUGGUCACAGGAUAUCGAUUUAUUUCAUGAUUUUCAAUUUCUUUGACUAUGGACUUUACAGCUGCAUGAUAUUGGUACAAAGCUGUUAUAUGAAUUUCCCUCUGCAAUAUACAUAAGCGAAAUGAAAAUGCAGAAAAUCAUGAUGUGUUUUUUAUGAUUAUAUUGAGCAUGCUAAUUGUAAAAAUGUAUGGUUUGUGGCUGCAUUUUCAAUAUUUUGUUAAUGAAGAUUGGAAAACAAAGACUGGACUGCAUGCGUGUUAUCCCUCCCAUUAUCUGCUGUAUUUCUGCCAUUCUUCAUGUUUUAUGUGACUUA